rnacentral:rRNA from 1 species
GUAUCAUGGCUCAGGAUGAACGCUAGCGACAGGCCUAACACAUGCAAGUCGAGGGGCAGCGAAGAGGUAGCAAUACCUUUGUCGGCGACCGGCGCACGGGUGAGUAACACGUAUGCAAUCCACCUGUAACAGGGGGAGUAACCCGGAGAAAUCCGGACUAAUACCCCAUAAUAUGGGCGCUCCGCAUGGAGGAGCCCAUUAAAGAGAGCAAUUUUGGUUACAGACGAGCAUGCGCUCCA